UACGGAGGGUGCAAGCGUUAUCCGGAUUCACUGGGUUUAAAGGGUGCGUAGGUGGGCUGGUAAGUCAGUGGUGAAAUCUCCAGGCUUAACUUGGAAACUGCCAUUGAUACUAUCAGUCUUGAAUACCGUGGAGGUCAGCGGAAUAUGUCAUGUAGCGGUGAAAUGCUUAGAUAUGACAUAGAACACCAGUUGCGAAGGCAGCUGGCUACACGAAUAUUGACACUGAUGCACGAAAGCGUGGGGAUCAAACAGG
rnacentral:rRNA from 1 species